rnacentral:lncRNA from 1 species
AGGAAAACCUUAACUAUUCAGUAUCCUCCAUUAUCGGCUAAGCAACUGAAUUUAGCCUGCUAAACCAGCAUGACAAUGGCGGGUUGAAUAAUCAAGAAGAUCCCAAUUCAUUCAAAGCUCUAACUAUCACUGAGCAACACAUGCUUCAAUGACAAUCUGAACUUCGAAUUAAUUUGUAAAACGGAAAUUCUUUAGAAACUUGAAGAUUAGAAAGAAUGGGUCAGAAUACUCGCACUUUCGAACAUUGAAAAGAAAGGUAUGAAUACUUGAAACAUAUACCAAAGGAAUGGAUCAGAAUAUUUGCAAUAUAUCCAAGAGAAAGGUUUAGGAUACUUGCAACACAUCAAAAGAAUGAAUCAGAAUAUUUGCAAUAUAUCCAAAAGAAGGGUGUAGGAUACUUGCCUUAAAUCUGACUCCAGUCUCACAUCUCUAUCUCAUCUUUCAACUUUCACAAUCUAUGCAUCUCAUAAUCUCUAGACCAUCUCUAGCUAUACUCUAUUCGCCACAUCGCUUCGCUUACUCGAUUCAUCCCUUAUUCGCUUUGCAAUACCAUUCCGACUUCCUGACGUCUUCGAGCGUACAAGUCUCCUCCCAAUCCUUUACGAGAAUAAGAUAAUACUAUAGUCACUAAACAAUAUAUCGCAUAUACAUAUCACGUAUAUCGAUACCCACUUAUAUACCCCUUUAAACUUAUCACAUAUCACUUAACACGUAAUCAUGCUUUGACUCUACCAUAUAGUCAAGUCAUAUUCCACCUAACAUAUCACAAAUCAAUUAUCAUAUAAAUCCUAUCGAUAAUUUGACAGCGUCUCGUCUAUUUGUAGGACUAUCCACAUGUUAUCCUAUUCUCAAUCAACAACCAACCAAUCAAAUCCAGUCACUAUAAUCCAUACGUUCUUAUCCAAUAUUAAUCAAAUCAUGACACUAUGUCAUAUAAGUCAUUUAUCACGUACAUAAUAUCAGGAAUAGACAUAUAUAUCACGUAAUCAUUAAUUAAUAACAAUCCAAUAACACAUAAUCACAUUCGGCACAUUUAACAACAAUUAUUCACAUUCUCGACUCCAUCAUAUUAUUAUGUCAUAUCAAACUAGACUUUAUAAGCUUUUAUCUCUCUUUCGUUUCACUUGAUUCCGACUUACGGAUCAAAAGAUAUGGUCAAAACCGUUUUCUGACUCCGCUCUCAACAUAUAAUACCUUACACCGAUAGCAGACAACACAUUACACAUUAAGUCUCCCAUCCCACUUGAUGUCAAAUCAAUUCCUGGGUUUAAAAUGAUUUUUCGGGAAUUUUCUGGAAUUUUUAAACAUUUUUCGGAAUUAAAAUCGAUAAAAGAAUCACUUUUCAGAUAAAUAAUCAAGUCCCAAUACUUAAAAUUGGACUUGAAAUCAUUCAUAAACAAUUAUCGAGCCUUGAAAAUAAUUUAGAAAAAUAUUUUAAAGCUCGAAACUAUUUUUCGGAAUUUUUAAAUCAAAAAGGAUUAAUUAAAUCCAAUUAAUUAAUCAAUUAAAAUCAAUUAAUAAUUAAUCAAAACAAUUAAUCAAUUAAUAUUUAAAUUAAUUGACCAAUUAAAAUAAUUAAUUACUAAUUAAAAUUAAUUAAUAAAUCAAAUUAGAUUUAUUUUUGAAUAAAAAUAUAAUUAAAAACUAUUUUUGGAAUUAAAAUAAAUAAAUAAAAACAAUUUUUGAAAAUUAAAAUCAAAAGGUUUAAAGUGUAAAAUUUUAAAACUUUGUCGCAGGGUUUAAACUGCAACAUUUCAAAAGUUCAGGGGGCUCUUUGUCAGAAAUGAAAACUCGGUGGUGAAACUUCACCACCUCUAUAAGUUAGGGGGCUAAACUGUAAUUAUACAGUCGCCGCCCCCCUUUCCGUCGCCGGCCACCGUUGGUGGUUUAAACCAGCCCAGAAUCUCACCAUGAAGUGCAGUUUUAUAGUAAUCAACACCAGGAACUCGAAUAUAUCAACCAAUUAAGCAGUGGUUCCAUGAAUCAGCCGGAAAACCAAAUCAAAGGUUCGUCUCCGGCGAACCUUAAAAUUUUCGAUCCACUCGAAAACGACCUCCUCCACCCUCACUAAGCAUGUAAAACUACUCCCCACAACAAGCUGAUCAUUAUGGUGACCUUCAAAACUGCCCAGAUUCAACCGAAUGAAAAAUCCGGCGAAAACUCAAAAUUUCCGGCGGAAAACGCAAGAACACCAAGAACACUCAAUUUCAAAGAUUAAACUGACUUUUCGAGGUGUUAUUGAACUCAAAAUUCAACAUAUAAUAUACCAAAACGACGAGAAAAACAUGCUCUACAACAUGGAAUCAUCAAAACAAUCAAACAAACACGUUUGCAAAAAUUCACUAUUUAAAUCAUAAUAAUUCGAAUUUUAAAACUUCAAUUACUCCCUACCUGUGAAUCUCAUGUUGUUUUUGAUGAUUGAUUUGGGUUCUACUCUUCGAUAUCUUCGAUUUGACUAUUCGCACGCUUGAUUCUGACUCCAAUAACACCUUCAAAUCUUCGUUUGAUUAUGAAGAACACGAAGAACACCGCUCGGUUUCUCUCGGUAUUCGUGCAGAGAAACUGGUGAAAUGAUUUUACGGGUGAAAAUAAGCUCUAGAAAGGUCUAUUUAUAUUUACAAAUAAUUGGUACCCCUUUGGAUCGUUUAUGACAUGAAAAUACGUAUUUAAUAGCUUUAUAUUAAUAAAGCGGGGUCCAAUCGGUACUGGUUUUCGAGAUAAUCAUCAAAACGGGGCUUUUUAACUCAAUUAUUGGUCUGCGGGUCCCAUUGCAAUUAUUACAAGAUAAGGAUGAAUAUAAUAAUCAAAAUAUCUCGUUUCACGUUUAUCGAGACAAACUGGAUAAUUAUCAACAAUUAAAAUACCCGAAAAACUCCGCCGGACCGACUCCGGGGAAAACCGUACUCCGGAUCGAAAAAGUCAAAACACGAAAAGUGUCCGGAAUAUUCAAAUUAGGCUAAAGGUCAGUUUUGUUGAAACUUUCGGGAAGAAAAUUUGCUACCUCGUUACGAGUGGACGGUUUUACGGAAGUCAAAUAAUUAAUAAAUAAAUAUAAAUAUACGCAAUUAAAUCCGUAAAUCGAUUAUAAAAUCAUCUAACAUUCCAUAAAUCGAUAUGAAAAUAUCCAAAUAAACUAUAUUUUCUCCUGAGCAUAUAGAAAUUGAAAUCUCUCAAAUACGAACACAUAUGAGCAGUUAACGCAAUAAACCAGAUAAUAUAAAAUUCACAAAAAUUCAUAUAUUAAUCAUAUAAUACUCAUAAUUAACCAUAAUUAAUUAACCAACAAAUCCACCAAUACCACUUAAUCACAUCACACAUAUAUUCACAUAAUAUUCAUACAGAAUUUUCAAAACAAUAUAUGAAAAUCAGUUUUGAAAAUACAAUUAUUUAUCAAUAACACAAUAACCCGGGGUUUAAAUAUAAAACUUUGAAAACUCAUUAAACUGGAAUAAAAUAUUAAAUCUUAUUCCUUUCUUUUUAAGAAAAUCAUUUAUAAUAUUAAUAAAAAUAUUUUUAAAAUCCGGGUUAUUACAAUCUACCCUCCUUAUAGGGAUUCCGUCCUCGGAAUCAGAGAAAGAAGGAGGACGCAAAAUCUGUAAAAUCCAUAUUAAUCCAAAUAACAAAAAUAAUCACAUUCACACUAUUCACAUAAUCAUGUCACUAUUCCAUUAAAGCCAACAAUAAUAUCAACAUAUUAGAUCUAUAAUAAUCAUAAACUAAUUUUAAAAACAUGGGAUAUUACAUUCUACCCCCCUUAUAAGGAUUCUGUCCUCAGAAUCCGCGAUGAGAACUAAAACGUAUCAUUUAUAAGAUCAUUGUACAGCCUUCAUAAUAUCACAUGCUUAUCCGCCUUUGAUCAACUUUGGCAUACCUUCAAAGUUAAAGAAAUAGGAGAAUCAAAACCUUCACAAUUGCAAACUUCAUUUCCCAAGAAUCAAUCUUUGGGAAUUUCGGAGGAACAAGAUGUUUUCAAAAUAGGUCACAUUGGAAUACAAGAGUGACUGGGAGAUCAAUACGAUCAAAUGAACUUAAUGUUGCGUGUCCAUAUUAGACACUACUAAAGGUUGUUAACCUUCUUGUAAUCACAACACACACAAGUGAUGGCGUCCCAUCCAACUCCUAUCACACAGACAGGUAUACCUUGUGUCCCCUAUAAAUAGGGUUGUUCAUCCCAAUCAAAUUGAAAGAAUCCAAGGAAUCUCAAAGAAUAUCAAAGAAUCUCGAGAAUAUCAAAGAACAUCAAGGGAUAUCAAGGAUGAUGAAAGAAUAUCAAGGAAUGUCAAGAAAUGUCAAACAAUAUCAAGGAACAUCACUAUCUCUUCACAACAAACCUUUAUCACACCUCUUUGCUUUCCAACUCAUAUCAAUAAUCAAUAUCAAUGUCAUCUUAGAAUUUGAGAAUUUGAAGAUCUCAUUUAUCAAAACUUUUGUGGAAAAGAUAUCAUGAUAAUAUCUCACUGAUGAUAAAACAAUCAAAAGAAUCUUUAGUUGAAGAGAGGUAUUGCCAAGGUCUUCUCAGGUUCCUACUUUACUUCAAUAAAUCAUUGUACGAUAUAUGUCUUCUUUUCAACGUUCUUGAUGAUCAAUCGAUUUGACUCGUAAUAGCCUCGUAAGAUGUCAUUGUAGACGUUAUCGUCCGUAACAACUCUGGCCCAUGUAGUUUACAUUCUUCUACUUUAUCCCAGUUGCCUUUGAAAUCCAUAGCACAAACACGUAACGUAUCUUCGAUUGUCUGGAUCAUCAACCUGUGGGUUAUGGGCCCACCUUGAUGCCAUUUGAAAUCCCGAUUAGCUCGAAGCGUUGUCGUCGAGGACUAACGUUCUAACUUACUCGUAGACAUCAUCUCUAAUAACUGGACUCAAUUCCACGUACUCUCUAUCAUUCACUUCUCACCUAUCAACCUCUAUCUACCAAUCUCUCCUUCUAAUCCAAUACAACUCAUACUCUACACUUACUCUUCAUAUCUUCACUCAAAACAAUAUACAUCUUCCAAAUAUCUGACAUGGUCAACAUACUAUGAACCAUGCAUUUAUAUCAUCCUCAAAUCAAUACAAUAAUCCAAUUUUCAACUAUGCAGUAUAGUCAGAAUACUCUGAACUCUGCAUUUUCACCAUUCUCAACUCAGUCAUUCACUAUCAACCUUUUCUAUAUAGGUCUAAUACUGACCUUUCCCACAAUGCACCAUCUCAAUUAAUCCACAUACUAGAAAUCAUAUGUCUAAACUUAAGAAUCCUAAUCUCUUUAAACCUAUACACUCAAUUUAAUCGUCUAACCAGAUUCUAUACCUCCAUCACAUCUCUAGACUAUCUCUAAAUAGUCUCACAACACCCCUAUACGAGGUUACCCAACAUUCUUCUCUAGAGAACCUAUAACUAUGAUCUAUGUUCUAAUUUCAAAUACUUAUAACCUGUUGCUCUGAUACCAACUGUGACAGUCCAAGAAUCCGGGGGUCUGGAUUCUGACGUCACCACACAAAACCUUUUUAAAACACUUUUGAAACCCUGUAUUUUUAUUUAAAAAUAAUGAAAAUCCAAAAGAAUUUAAAACUUGGAAACAUUUAUUAAAAGAUUUGAAUAAGAACAUAAUUCAAAUGAUUUCAAAACUUGAAUUCCAGACUUGAAAACCAUCAUAAAAGAAUUUCCAGAAAAUCUUUAAACUUUAAUAAAUGAUUCGAAAUAGAACAUUUAAACCCCCAAAAACAACAGGAUCGCUUCCAGGUUACAGUAUUGAAAUUAGAAUCCACCACUAACACAACAAUUCUUACCAAAUCAGAUCAUCUUCGAUACGAAGAAUCACUGUUAACUCUUCCAGCUCCGACUUACACUUGAAUCCCUAUAGCACCGUUCUAGCUUGCACCAACCUCAUCACUUUCCUGAACACUCCUCGACCACUGGAUCCUCAACUCUGUCUCCUCGUCUAGCAUUAGCCUUAUUCACAAUCUCAACCAAUCAUCUCAUCUUUAAGCCUUUCUGAAAUGGUUAGAAAGGAAUAGCAAGGGUGAGCAACAAUGCUCAGCAAGUAAUAAUAAACAAUGAUAAUUCUGAAAUGAUAUAACAGAAGUUCACGAGUUCAAGAUAUAAGAGGAUUCAACCUGAGUUCAUGAGUUCAUGGUAUUGCAUAGAAUGAUUUACAAUACCUUGCAUCAUUUAAACUGAGAAAUUCAAUCUUUCCAAAGAAUUAUUGAAUUGGACUAUCACAUUUUAAUUAAAACCAAGGUUAGGCAGCUGAUCAGUUCCGCACUAACCCCGAGCAGGCCCCGCCAUGCUCUAUCACUGGAUCCAAGGCACUCAUUGGCCUAACAUGACCACGAAUCUGGUCCACAGGUUUAUAUAAAAACAAUAAUCCAAUUCUCUAAUUCAAUAACAGGUCAAUGUAUAACAACAGAACAUAACCACACCCAAUAUCAAUGAUAGAAUAAUUCCAAAUCAAACUUUGAUAAUCAACUUUUCAUAAACCAGAGUCCAUCCUUCCAUAAAUCAUGGUCCAGGAAAUCCUUAACUAUUCAGUAUCCUCCAUUAUCGGCUAAGCAACUGAAUUUAGCCUGCUAAACCAGCAUGACAAUGGCAGGUUGAAUAAUCAAGAAGAUCCCAAGUCAUUCUAGGUUCUAAUCAUCACUGAGCAACACAUGCUUCAAUGACAAUCGGAACUUCGAAUUAAUUUGUAAAACUGGAAUUAUCUGAAUUUUUUGAGGAUUAGAAAAGGAUGGAUAAAAUAUUUACACUUUCAAAUAUAAAAAGGAGAGGAACGAAUAUUUGCAACACAUUCGAAAAGAAUGGAUCAGAAUAAUUGCAAGAUAUCCAAAAGAAGGGUAUAGGAUACUUGCCUUAAAUCUGACUCCCGUCUCACAGCUCAUUCUCAUCUUUCCACUUUCGCAAUCUAUGCAUCUCAUAAUCUCUAGACCAUCUCUAGCUAUACUCUAUUCGCCACAUCGCUUCGCUUACUCGAUUCAUCCCUUAUUCGCUUUGCAAUACCAUUCCGACUUCCUGACGUCUUCGAGCGUACACGUCUCCUCCAAAUCCUUUACGAGAAUAAGAUAAUACUAUAGUCACUAAACAAUAUAUCGCAUAUACAUAUCACGUAUAUCGAUACCCACUUAUAUACCCCUUUAAACUUAUCACAUAUCACUUAACACGUAAUCAUGCUUUGACUCUACCAUAUAGUCAAGUCAUAUUCCACAUAACAUAUUACCAAUCACUU